rnacentral:rRNA from 1 species
AGCGAACGCUGGCGGCAGGCCUAACACAUGCAAGUCGAGCGGCCGUAGCAAUACGGCAGCGGCAGACGGGAGAGUAACACGUGGGAACGUACCCUUCGGUUCGGAAUAACUCAGGGAAACUUGAGCUAAUACCGGAUACGUCCGUAAGGAGAAAGAUUUAUCGCCGAGGGAUCGGCCCGCGUCCGAUUAGCUAGUUGGUGGGGUAAUGGCCCACCAAGGCGACGAUCGGUAGCUGGUCUGAGAGGAUGAUCAGCCCCACUGGGACUGAGACACGGCCCAGACUCCUACGGGAGGCAGCAGUGGGGAAUAUUGGACAAUGGGCGCAAGCCUGAUCCAGCCAUGCCGCGUGGGUGAUGAAGGCCCUAGGGUUGUAAAGCCCUUUCGGCGGGGAAGAUAAUGACGGUACCCGCAGAAGAAGCCCCGGCUAACUUCGUGCCAGCAGCCGCGGUAAAAC